UACGUAGGGACCGAGCGUUGUCCGGAAUUAUUGGGCGUAAAGAGCUUGUAGGCGGUUUGUCGCGUCUGCCGUGAAAAUCCGGGGCUCAACCCCGGACUUGCGGUGGGUACGGGCAGACUAGAGUGUGGUAGGGGAGACUGGAAUUCCUGGUGUAGCGGUGAAAUGCGCAGAUAUCAGGAGGAACACCGAUGGCGAAGGCAGGUCUCUGGGCCACUACUGACGCUGAGAAGCGAAAGCGUGGGGAGCGAACAGG
rnacentral:rRNA from 1 species